GGAAAUCUUUGUGAUUAAGAAUAUGAUAACAUAAUUUAUUGUCAACUUGAGGUAAAUGGGAUGUCUUGAACGUUGAAAAUGUUACACGUGCCAUUUGCAGAACUUCUCAAUAAGUACAAGAAUUGAUUUAAUCCAAUGCAUAAAGGAAAUUAUCAAAUCCCAUUCUGAAUUUGUACUGAUGCUUGUAUUUGAUUCAGCAUGUAGACUAGACAGCUGUAUGUACUUGAUGCUGGUGACUGAAUAAUUGGAAUGUACCACUGGCCUUAGACCCUUCUCAUCCUCAAGAUCAACCAUUAUGUAAAUGAAUGACAACAUUCACAACAAACUCAAGUUCAAGUUGAAAAUGCAUUGCGAAAAUUGGAACCAAUUACCUAACACAACCAGGAGAUAUUGACAAUCAAUCAUCAAAGAUAAUCUUAUUCCCUUAGGUUCAGUGAUUCAGAUUUGAAUACCGAAUCACAACAUAAACUAACCCAUAAUUCUGUAAAAAUUGUCCAAUAACUAUGGAUUAUCAGCAGAUUAACGUAUUCACAUAGAUCCUCAAUCCUCAUAAUGGCAUAGAUAAAUUAUCCAACAACACUUGAAGAAUAAAUGGCGUCUUAAAUACCUUGACAACUAUAAAUCCUCCAAGCUUACUGACGUUGCAUCGGUUGCAUUUGACAAAUCAUAUUGUAAGGUGAAAACUGGUAUCCAGGAGGAGUUCCUCUAAGGAGAUUUUGCUCCUGUAGUUUUUGUCCAUAUGACGAUAUCCCACAAAAAGGUGCCAUCAACAAAUUGCCAUUUGCUUGGCUAAAAACACCAGCUGCCCCUCCCCCUUCACUUUGUGGUUUACAAUCUAUAAAUCCUUUGGGCAUGCCAGCCAUUUUUUGUUGUGGUUGUGAUUGUAGACUUGUGGUAGAAUGAUCUGGGGAUGAUUUCUUCUCAUCAGGUGAAGCAGACUCGAUGUUUGGAAGAUUGACGGUAGUAAUAUCAUGGAUGCUGGACCUCCGUUUAUCCUUCCUUCCUGUGCUCUGCCUGAUAAAAUACUUCUGAGCAUGACUAGCCACUUGAGUUGGUGUCCUAGUGGUCACAAGGUUGCGAGAAAUAUUUCUCCAGUCCCCUUUACCAUACUUUUGAAGACCCAUCAGAAACUGCCUGUGCUCCUCCUCAGUCCACGGCACACCUUUCUUCCUUUCCUGCUCAGACGACCUGGCUGCGGUGGUUCUCUUGCCUCCAGGAGUAUAAUAGUGUUUGAAGGCAUCGUAUCCCUGAUUAUUAUUGACCCACUCCAAAGUAAAAGCAUCACUACUGCUAUAUCCAGGAAUUGGGAUGAGCCCUGCCUCGAUAUCACUGACAUCUUCCUCCAAUUCCCUAUACUGUUUGAUUACAUCACCUACAGUCUUGCCUGGGAUCAUGGCUGCAACUUUAUGCCAUCUAUCAGGCUCAUCCUUAUCAUACAAAGCCAGAGCAUUCUCAAACUGCUUGUUUUCUUCAUGGGUCCAUUUGGUACACCUGGUUUCUUGAAACAACCAGUUUGAAUUCUCAAGAUAAGAGGCUGGAGAGAGGAUUUCAUUUCCCCGAUUCAUAGUUAUUACACUGUACAAGAAUAGAAGCAAAUAACAUAGAAAUAAAUUUAUACAAUAAAGAGAGGAAAAAAAAAGAUGCUAUACUUCUCUCUAUCUCUCUCUUUGAAUUGAAAGAGAGAGAAAGAUACAGAGAGGAAAUGCAGCAGAAAGAAGUGGAGAAUUUUAUGACCAAAGAGUCAUCAAAUCAACAGGCAUUUGAAUAGAAUCUGAGUAACUUUUUUACGUAAGCACAAAUUGAGGAAUCUGAGAAAGUCCCAACUUUCCAAAACCCAAGGAAAAUUCGAGAAGCAAUAACAGAAAAGAAAGCAGAUCUCAAUCAUCUAUUUUUAAUGGUAGAACCCUAGAUUAACGUUCAAUAAUUGAUCAAAAUCAAAAAGCCAACAAUAGGUGAAAGAAAUAGAUAUCAAAUUCCACGAAGAAAGCAAAACUGAGCCAUAAAUUUCGCAACUUUGAAGCUCAAAAAGUAAGAUUCAAUUCAAGGCAUAAGCUUUUGUACAACCCAAAAACCAAAAAACAAAAAAGAUGAUAAAAAGCCAAUGAAAAGGAGAAAGACACAAUCGAGAAAAACAGAGGAUUCAAGUGGUAGAAGUGGCUAGCAAUUUAUGCUUUGCCAAGCUUUGUUCCCUUUGGGAUAAAGGCCAAAAACGAAAACAACAAAGCACAGGGUAAAAGGAAGUGAAUACAAAUAUGCCAGCUCCUUAUUACUAGUUGCAAGAGAAGGAUCUAUGGAACAGGAUUGAGCAGAGAAGGGAGAGUGAAAAAGAGGUCAAAGGUGUUGAGUUGUGAUUGGUGGAAAUGGGUUUUGUGGGCGCUGCAGCCAAAGAAAAGUUCCCUACUUAUAUGUGAAGAGAGAGGGGGUGGCCCAAU
rnacentral:misc_RNA from 1 species